UGCUUUUCGGUCUGCCUUGUUUUCC
rnacentral:piRNA from 1 species